AGAGCGAACGCUGGCGGCAGGCUUAACACAUGCAAGUCGAGCGGGCGUAGCAAUACGUCAGCGGCAGACGGGUGAGUAACGCGUGGGAACGUACCUUUUGGUUCGGAACAACCCAGGGAAACUUGGGCUAAUACCGGAUAAGCCCUUACGGGGAAAGAUUUAUCGCCGAAAGAUCGGCCCGCGUCUGAUUAGCUAGUUGGUGGGGUAAUGGCCCACCAAGGCGACGAUCAGUAGCUGGUCUGAGAGGAUGAUCAGCCACAUUGGGACUGAGACACGGCCCAAACUCCUACUGGAGGCAGCAGUGGGGAAUAUUGGACAACGGGCGCAAGCCUGAUCCAGCCAUGCCGCGUGAGUGAUGAAGGCCCUAGGGUUGUAAAGCUCUUUUGUGCGGGAAGAUAAUGACGGUACCGCAAGAAUAAGCCCCGGCUAACUUCGUACCAGCAGCCGC
rnacentral:rRNA from 1 species